GAUGAACGCUGGCGGCGUGCCUAAUACAUGCAAGUCGAGCGAACAGAUGAGGAGCUUGCUCCUCUGACGUUAGCGGCGGACGGGUGAGUAACACGUGGAUAACCUACCUAUAAGACUGGGAUAACUUCGGGAAACCGGAGCUAAUACCGGAUAAUAUAUUGAACCGCAUGGUUCAAUAGUGAAAGACGGUUUUGCUGUCACUUAUAGAUGGAUCCGCGCCGCAUUAGCUAGUUGGUAAGGUAACGGCUUACCAAGGCAACGAUGCGUAGCCGACGUGAAAGAGGGGUCGGCCGCCUGGGAGGUUAGCGAGCGUCAUGACGCCUGAGAUAGGGACCAGACGCGAACGUGACGCAGUAGUCGAGAGCCUGACAGAAUGACGGCACGAGAGAUGUAAAAAUGUCGGGAGCGGGAAACUCGCUUACGAGGUGAGAACAAAUGUGGAAGGAGCUAAGCACGUCGUGACGGUACCGGGUCAGAAAGCCACGGCUAACUACGUG
rnacentral:rRNA from 1 species